GAUGAACGCUGGCGGCGUGCCUAAUACAUGCAAGUCGAGCGAACAGACGAGGAGCUUGCUCCUCUGACGUUAGCGGCGGACGGGUGAGUAACACGUGGAUAACCUACCUAUAAGACUGGGAUAACUUCGGGAAACCGGAGCUAAUACCGGAUAAUAUAUUGAACCGCAUGGUUCAAUAGUGAAAGACGGUUUUGCUGUCACUUAUAGAUGGAUCCGCGCCGCAUUAGCUAGUUGGUAAGGUAACGGCUUACCAAGGCAACGAUGCGUAGCCGACCUGAGAGGGUGAUCGGCCACACUGGAACUGGGACACGGUCCAGACUCCUACGGGAGGCAGCAGUAGGGAAUCUUCCGCAAUGGGCGAAAGCCUGACGGAGCAACGCCGCGUGAGCGAUGAAGGUCUUCGGAUCGUAAAACUCUGUUAUUAGGGAAGAACAAAUGUGUAAGUAACUAUGCACGUCUUGACGGUACCUAAUCAGAAAGCCACGGCUAACUACGUG
rnacentral:rRNA from 1 species